rnacentral:lncRNA from 1 species
GACAAUGCUGACUAUAGAUUAUUUCAGAAAAUACUCAAAUUGUGUCGUUUGCCAUUUCCCUUUUGCACUACAUAAAGUAUCACCUCAAAUGCAGGCACAGGUUCUCUUCAGAACUCUCUCACCACCUAAGGAAAGAAGUGCAAUUGUUUUAAACCCUCUCCCUAGGAAUCUCAUCAAAUACCAUAGCCAGAAAAAAUAAACCAGUGGGGAAAGAGGAAACUAAAGUUCCCAUGCUCAAGACCACCCUACCCAGACA